rnacentral:tRNA from 1 species
GGGAAAGAAACAUUAAGGUGAUGUUGUUAGCUUGAAACUAAUUAGUGGGGGUUCGAUUCCUUCCUUUCUCG